GCCCCUGGCUGGCUCAGUCGGUAGAGCAUGUGACUCUUGAUCUCAGGGUUGUGAGUUCGAGCCUCAUGUUGGGCU